ACGGAAGGCAGCAGUGGGGAAUAUUGGUCAAUGGGCGAGAGCUUGAACCAGCCAAGUCGCGUGCGGGACGAAGGCCCUACGGGUCGUAAACCGCUUUUAUACGGGAAUAAAGUGCGCCACGCGUGGCGUUUUGCAGGUACCGUAGGAAUAAGGAUCGGCUAACUCCGUGCCAGCAGCCGCGGUAAUACGGAGGAUGCAAGCGUUAUCCGGAUUUAUUGGGUUUAAAGGGUGCGUAGGCUGUUCGACAAGUCAGUGGUGAAAGCCCGGGGCUCAACUCCGGAACUGCCAUUGAUACUGCCGAGCUGGAAUACGGAUGCCGUGGGAGGAAUGAGUAGUGUAGCGGUGAAAUGCAUAGAUAUUACUCAGAACACCGAUUGCGAAGGCAUCUCACGAAUCCGUCAUUGACGCUGAGGCACGAAAGCGUGGGGAUCAAACAGGAUUAGAUACCCUGGUA
rnacentral:rRNA from 1 species